rnacentral:rRNA from 1 species
UACGGGGGGAGCAAGCGUUGUUCGGAUUUACUGGGCGUAAAGGGCGCGUAGGCGGCCACCGCAAGUCAGUUGUGAAAGCUCUGGGCUUAACCCAGAAAGGUCAACUGAUACUGCGGGGCUAGAGUGCAGAAGGGGCAACUGGAAUUCUCGGUGUAGCGGUGGAAUGCGUAGAGAUCCGGAAGAACACCGGUGGCGAAGGCGGCCUGCUGGGCAGUUGCUGACACUGAGGCGCGACAGCGUGGGGAGCAAACAGG